AACCUGCCCCAUAGUCUGGGAUACCACUUGGAAACAGGUGCUAAUACCGGAUAAGAAAGCAGAUCGCAUGAUCAGCUUUUAAAAGGCGGCGUAAGCUGUCGCUAUGGGAUGGCCCCGCGGUGCAUUAGCUAGUUGGUAAGGUGAAGGCUUACCAAGGCGAUGAUGCAUAGCCGAGUUGAGAGACUGAUCGGCCACAUUGGGACUGAGACACGGCCCAAACUCCUACGGGAGGCAGCAGCA
rnacentral:rRNA from 1 species